rnacentral:rRNA from 1 species
UACAGAGGGUGCAAGCGUUGCUCGGAAUCAUUGGGCGUAAAGGGCAGGUAGGUGGUCUCAUUUGUCUGGGGUGAAAGCCCAGGGCUUAACCCUGGAAGUGCCCCGGAAACGGUGAGACUGGAGUCUUGGAGAGGGUCGUGGAAUUCCCGGUGUAGCGGUGAAAUGCGUAGAUAUCUGGAGGAACACCGGUGGCGAAGGCGGCAUCCUGGACCGGCAUUGACGCUGAGGCGCGAAAGCCAGGGGAGCAAACGGG